rnacentral:rRNA from 1 species
GAUGAACGCUGGCGGCGUGCCUAAUACAUGCAAGUCGAGCGAAGCGGGGACGGGUGAGUAACACGUGGAGAACCUCAUAUAAGACUGGGAUAACUUAGGGAAACCGGAGCUAAACCGGAUACUUAUAGAUGGAUCCUCGCUGCAUUAGCUAGUUGGUAAGGUAACGGCUUACCAAGGAAACGAUGCAUCGCCGACCUGGGAGGGUUGUCGGCCACACUGGAAAUGGGAAACGGGCAAGACUCCUACGGGGAGCAGCCGUAGGGAAUCUUCCGGAAAGGACGAAAGUCUGACGGAGCAACGCCGGGUGAGUGAUGACGGCCUUCGGGUUGGAAAGCUCUGUUAAUCGGGACGCGGUACCGGAAUAGAAAGCCACGGCUAACUACGUGCCAGCAGCCGCGGUAAUUC